rnacentral:rRNA from 1 species
UACGGGAGGCAGCAGUGGGGAAUAUUGGGCAAUGGGCGAAAGCCUGACCCAGCGACGCCGCGUGAGGGAAGAAGGUUUUCGGAUCGUAAACCUCUGUCCUUGGUGAAGAGGAAGAGACGGUAGCCAAGGAGGAAGCCCCGGCUAACUACGUGCCAGCAGCCGCGGUAAU